rnacentral:rRNA from 1 species
UACGGGGGGGGCAAGCGUUGUUCGGAAUUACUGGGCGUAAAGGGCUCGUAGGUGGCCAACUAAGUCAGACGUGAAAUCCCUCAGCUUAACUGGGGAACUGCGUCUGAUACUGGAUGGCUUGAGAUUGGGAGAGGGAUGCGGAAUUCCAGGUGUAGCGGUGAAAUGCGUAGAUAUCUGGAGGAACACCGGUGGCGAAGGCAAUCCCCUGGGCCUGCACUGACGCUCAUGCACGAAAGCGUGGGAGC